rnacentral:rRNA from 1 species
UACGGGGGGAGCAAGCGUUGUUCGGAAUUACUGGGCGUAAAGCGCGCGCAGGCGGUUCUCCAAGUCCGGGGUGAAAGCCCGGAGCUCAACUCCGGAACUGCCAUUGAAACUGUUGAACUUGAGGACGAGAGAGGUGAGUGGAAUUCCCAGUGUAGAGGUGAAAUUCGUAGAUAUUGGGAAGAACACCAGUGGCGAAGGCGGCUCACUGGCCCGUAUCUGACGCUCAGGCGCGAUAGCGUGGGGAGCAAACAGG